rnacentral:lncRNA from 1 species
GAACCUUUUAUAUAUGAGUUCAUCGGUUUACCUAAAUGAUAAUUAUAUUAUCCUAGAAAAAAGAGUUUUCUCAUGCGAAGGCUAAAAGAUAAGAGAGCCAAGCUUUUUCCUGGGGGGAAAAAAUGUCUGAGAACUAUCAGAGUAAAGAUUAACUCUAACUGCACACCAACUAUCAAAAAGAGCUUUUCCAUUCACCUUUUAUUUCAUCUUCUAUCUAGCCAAAUGAUAACUAAUCUUCCCACUACAUAAGUUCUUUCAUACUAACAUAUUUCUCCAACAAAGAUGUAAUCUCAAACACAUUCACAAGAUGCACAAAUGAAGUCGUUGAUGACAUUACAGUGUCGUGCUACAUUCUAGCUCAAAGAGCGUUGUCUAUUAGGACUUUCAACAAUUAAGCAAUAGUAUGCCAAGUGUCAACUAAAUUACUAAUCAUUCCACAUGACGUGUCAGACACUAUACAUAAUGAAAUAGAAAAGGUGAAGUGAAAAUUAUUCAACAAAAGAAGUGUGUAUUCAGUGAGAAUUUGUGAGAUUUUCUAGCUUUAUGAAAAAUGCCGCUUUACAAUGCAAAUUUCCUGAUCAGGUGACUUCAAUCAAUCAAUCAACUACUUCUAAAAUCCAAAUGGGUAGCGUCAGCUAUAUGAAUCUUCUAUAUCACUUCCGCUCUUCCAUUAUGGUCUCCUAAAACAAAUUUUACGUACUCUGAAACUAGAUGCUCCUUAAAAUUAGAGUGCCGCUCAAUCAAUCACAAUUGUGGGGGAAAAAACAUAUGGAGAAGUCAUAAUUGUUUGGAUAACAAAUUAUUCACACAGACAUUUCUAUACUGCAAUUAAAAAGGAUAAAAAACAUCUUCACUUGGGAGAAUAAUUUGAAUUUAAAAAUGCUUAAAAUGAUGAACAGCAGGUGUUCAUUGUCCAUAUUUCAGCAAAUAGUGCUGCUGUCUAAUUUCCUUAACACAAAACAUGGAUCAAAAUUCAGAACAUGAUGGAAAAAGAAAAAAAAAACAUUUGGAAGAAACAAAAGAGAAUACACUUCUUUGUUUUUUUAAUGAUAGUGUUAUCUGGUCUAGCUUCCGUGCAUCUCAACUAAUUCCACGAGGUACCUGCUAACUCCCACUAGCAAAGGUAUCGAGCAACUUCAUCCACCAAGGGCUGAACAAAAUAGAAUGAAAUCACCUAAUGUUUAUUGCCUCUAGUGGGGUUUAAACCUGAGACCUCAUGAUUUUCAAUCCACUUCCUUAACUAUUAGGCAUCCUUGGGUGCAGAAAGAUAAUAUGUUUCUACAAAAUUAAGAGCAAAAAAAGAUUCUACUGAGCUGGUGUUCUGUGUCAUAUAUUUAAAGAUUAAGUUUUAAAAGGGUGGUUAGACUGACUAUGUUAUGUGGGAAAGAGUGUUGGCCAGUCAAAAAUUCUCAUGUCUAGAAGAUGAGAGUAGAAUUGAUGUAGGAUGUUGAUGUGGAUGUGUGAGCAUACAAGGAGAGAUAAAAUUAAGAAUGAAGAUAUUUGGGUCACGCUUGUGACAAAAGAGAAGAGUGGAUGUGCCGGUAAGAAAACACGAGAGGUUGGCUGAUUGAAGGCUUGAGGAGGGGUAGAAUUAGGCCUAAGAAGUACUGAAAUGGGUAAUCAGGUAAGACAUGACGCAACUUCAACAUAAGAGGGUGUGGAGAUCAAGGAUAAGGAUAAAUGUUAGUAGGUUGACGAGUGUUCUGCUUUCCAAUUCUCCAACGUAUUAGUAUUAGUCUUAAUUUUUGUAUUCUUAGAUUUCUAUUUCUAUCUGUUGAUUCCUUAGCCUCGAUUACUAUUUUCUCUUAUACCGGAAAAAUCUUCCCUACCUUCUCAAGGUAAUUUUUCAAGUUAGGGGUAAGGUCAUAGUACACACUACCCUUCUUACACCUCACUUGUGGGAUUACACUGAAUUUGUUCUUGUUGCUCAAGAGACAAAAAUUACCUCCAACAGCACUAGUGGUUAGCUCAAUUAGAAGAGGUUGAUGGACUUGUGUCUUAAGCCACAAGUUCAAGCCCUCGACCAAGUGAACUAAACCCACUAUUUAAAUAGAGAAUGCUAAGAGGGGCAAACUCAUAAUCUUCUGAGUUUCGAUGGUUAAGAUUAGCUCAAAGUACUGACAAGUUUCACAAUCAUUAAGGUCUGCGUACACUCUAGCCUCCAUAGACUGCACUUGUAAUUUUAAUAUUGUAUUACACAAUGACCAAUUGAUUUCAAAUUCCACCUCUGCUCCUAGACAUGUAUUUCUGACUUUGUUUCAUGAGGAAAAAUAUGUAAUCAAAACGCUUAGGGUUCUAGAAUCAAAGUGAUAAAAUUAAAUGUUGAAGUUUUUUAAAAAACAUUUAAGUGAUCAUCGACCAAAAGCGAUAAUAAAAUGUAUCAGGUAAUUCCAUACUAAUAUAUCACAUAUCUGUACCUAAUAACACCAAACCCAACUAAAUUUACUUGCUUGAUUUUCGAAGUUAUCUAACCAUCGUGGUUUAAAAAAGUCAUUCGAAUAAUUGACUACCCAAUUGUCAUCAUAGCCCUCAAAUUCAGGCUCUUCUCUUUUCAGAAUGAAACUACUCACAAACACAUGACAUUAAAUUGAAAAUCGUUAGGAAGUACACAAUAUGCACUCAAACAUAAGAAUAAGUACAUCCCUAAGCUUUAAUCGAGUGAUAAGAGAGCAUGUGAUGUCCAAGUUAUGCACACAACGAGGUUCAAAGUUUAAAUCUUAUCACAAACAAAAGUCUUCUACUUAAGCUAUGCACAAAACAAGGUCCCACCCCUCUAUUGUUCACUUAAGUAGAAGACUUUUGUUUGUGAUCAGAUUCAAACUUUGAACCUUGUUGUGUGCAUAACUUGCACAUCACAUGCUCUCUUAUCACUCGAUUAAAGCCUAGGGAUAUACUUAUCCUUAUAUUUGAGUGCAUAUUGUAUACUUCCUAACGGUUUUCAAUUUACUAUCAGGUGGUUGUGAGUAGCUUCAUUCCGAAAAGGGAAGAGCCUAAAUUUGAGGGUUAUGAUGACAAUUGAGUAGUCAAUUAUUCGAAUGACUUUUUUUAAACCCAAUGGGUAGAUAUUGUUUUGAACUUCAAAAAUCGAGCAACUAAAUUUAGUUGAGUUUGGUGUUAUUUGGUACAAACAUGUAGUAUAUUAGUAUGGAAUUACCUAAUACAUUUUAUAGACGCUUUUGGUCUAUAUUCACUUAAAUGUUUUUUAAAAAAAACUUAAAUGUUAGUACGUAGUCAAGCGUUCUGUUUUCCUAUUCCAAUGUAUUAGUAUUAGUCUUGUAUUUUCGUAUUCCUAGAUUUCUAAUUCUAUCAGUUUAUUCCUUAGCCUCGAUUACUGUAUUCUUUUGUUUUUGUUCUAACUUGUUGCUAUUGAUGUCUUUUCAUUUAUUUUAGGCUGAGGUUCAAUCAAAAACAUCUUCUCUAUCUUUUCAAGGUAUAGGCAAGGUUUGCGACACACUACCCUUCUCGAACCCCACAUUUGGGAUUAUACAAGGUUUGUUGUUGUUGCUUAAGAGACGAAAAUUACCUCCAACGACCCAGUGGCUAGCUCAAUUAGCAAAGGUUGAUGGACUUGUGUCUUUAGGCCACAAGUUCACAUUUUUCUUAGUUAUUGGCAAGUUUCAAGGUCAUUAAGGUCUGCGUACACUUUACACUCUAUAGAUCGCACUACAACAUGGACCAAUUGAUUUCAAAUUCAAUUUCUGCUCGUUGGCAUCUAUUUCUGACUUUGUUUCAUUAGAAAAAAUAAGUAAUCAAAACGCUUAGGGUUCUAAAAUCAAAGUGACGGAGCACACAACAGCACAAAUAUUGAUAGGAGGGUGUGGUGGUCGAAAAUAAGGAUCUAAUGUUAGUAGGUAGUUAAGUGUUUUGUUUUCCUAUCCCUAGUGUAUUAGUAUUAGUCUUGUAUUUUCAUAUUCUUAGAUUCUGAUUCUAAUUCCUUUUAACUGUAUUCUCUUGUUUUUGUUUUAACUUGUUGCUAUUGAUGUCAUUUGUUUUGAGCUGAGGUUCUAUCGAAAACAUCUUCUCUACCUUCUCAAGGUAUGGGUAAGGUGAGCGUACACACUACCCUUCCUGGACCCCACUUGUGGGAUAACACUGAGUAUUAACUUGUUGUUCAAGAGACAAAAGUUACCUCCAACAGCACUAGUGGUUAGCUCAAUUAGCAAAGAUUGAUGGACUUGUAAGUUCAAGUCCUCAACCAAGUGUACUAAAUCCACAAUUUAAAUAGAGAACGCUAAGAGAGGCGAACUUGUCAUCUUAUGAGUUUCGAAAGUUACGAUUAGCUCAAAGUACGGGCACAUUUCACAAUCAUUAAGGUCUACGUACACUCUAGCCUUCAUAGAUUGCACUUGUAGGUUUAAUAUUGUAUCACACAAUGGACCAAUUGAUUUCAAAUUCCACCUCUGCUCCUAGACAUGUAUUUCUGACUCUGUUUCAUGAGAAAAAAUAUGUAAUCAAAACACUUAGGGUUCUAGAAUCAAAGUGAUAAAAUUAAAUGUUUAAGUUAUAAAAAAAAAUUUAAGUGAACACAGACCAAAAGCGACAAUAAAGCAUCAGGUAAUUCCAUACUAAUAUAUCACAUAUCUGUACCUAAUAACACCAAACCCAACUAAAUUUACUUGCUUGAUUUUCGAAGUUAUCUAACCAUUGUGGUUUAAAAAAGUCGUUCGAAUAAUUGACUACCCAAUUGUCAUCAUAGCCCUCAAAUUCAGGCUCUUCUCUUUUCAGAAUGAAACUACUCACAAACACAUGACAUUAAAUUGAAAAUCGUUAGGAAGUACACAAUAUGCACUCAAACAUAAGGAUAAGUACAUCCCUAAGCUUUAAUCGAGUGAUAAGAGAGCAUGUGAUGUCCAAGUUAUGCACACAACGAGGUUCAAAGUUUAAAUCUUAUCACAAACAAAAGUCUUCUACUUAAGCUAUGCACAAAACAAGGUCCCACCCCUCUAUUGUUCACUUAAGUAGAAGACUUUUGUUUGUGAUCAGAUUCAAACUUUGAACCUUGUUGUGUGCAUAACUUGCACAUCACAUGCUCUCUUAUCACUCGAUUAAAGCCUAGGCAUAUACUUAUCCUUAUAUUUGAGUGCAUAUUGUAUACUUCCUAACGGUUUUCAAUUUACUAUCAGGUGGUUGUGAGUAGCUUCAUUCCGAAAAAGGAAGAGCCUAAAUUUGAGGGCUAUGAUGACAAUUGAGUAGUCAAUUAUUCGAAUGACUUUUUUUAAACCACAAUGGUUAGAUAUUGUUUUAAACUUCAAAAAUCGAGCAACUACAUUUAGUUGAGUUUGGUGUUAUUUGGUACAAACAUGUAGUAUAUUAGUAUGGAAUUACCUAAUACAUUUUAUAGACGCUUUUGGUCUAUUCACUUAAAUGUUUUUUUUAUAACUUAAAUGUUAGUACGUAGUCAAGCGUUCUGUUUUCCUAUUCCAAUGUAUUAGUAUUAGUCUUGUAUUUUCGUAUUCUUAGAUUUCUAAUUCUAUCAGUUUAUUCCUUAGCCUCGAUUACUGUAUUCUUUUGUUUUUGUUCUAACUUGUUGCUAUUGAUGUCUUUUCAUUUGUUUUAGGCUGAGGUUCAAUUGAAAACAUCUUCUCUAUCUUUUCAAGGUAUAGGCAAGGUUUGCGACACACUACCCUUCUCGAACCCCACAUUUGGGAUUAUACAUGGUUUGUUGUUGUUGCUCAAGAGACGAAAAUUACCUCCAACGACCCAGUGGCUAGCUCAAUUAGCAAAGGUUGAUGGACUUGUGUCUUUAGGCCACAAGUUCACAUUUGUCUUAGUUAUUGGCAAGUUUCAAGGUCAUUAAGGUCUGCGUACACUUUACACUCUAUAGAUCGCACUACAACAUGGACCAAUUGAUUUCAAAUUCAAUUUCUGCUCGUUGACAUCUAUUUCUGACUUUGUUUCAUUAGAAAAAAUAAGUAAUCAAAACGCUUAGGGUUCUAAAAUCAAAGUGACGGAGCACACAAAAGCACAAAUAUUGAUAGGAGGGUGUGGUGGUCGAAAAUAAGGAUCUAAUGUUAGUAGGUAGUUAAGUGUUUUGUUUUCCUAUCCCUAGUGUAUUAGUAUUAGUCUUGUAUUUUCAUAUUCUUAGAUUCUGAUUCUAAUUCCUUUUAACUGUAUUCUCUUGUUUUUGUUUGAACUUGUUGCUAUUGAUGUCAUUUGUUUUGAGCUAAGGUUCUAUCGAAAACAUCUUCUCUACCUUCUCAAGGUAUGGGUAAGGUGAGCGUACACACUACCCUUCCCGGACCGCACUUGUGGGAUAACACUGAGUAUUAUGUUGUUGUUCAAGAGACAAAAAUUACCUCCAACAGCACUAGUGGUUAGCUCAAUUAGCAAAGAUUGAUGGACUUGUAAGUUCAAGUCCUCAACCAAGUGAACUAAAUCCACAAUUUAAAUAGAGAAUGCUAAGAGAGGCGAACUUGUCAUCUUCUGAGUUUCGAAGGUUACGAUUAGCUCAAAGUACGGGCACAUUUCACAAUCAUUAAGGUCUACGUACAUUCCAACCUUCAUAGAUUGCACUUGUAGGUUUAAUAUUGUAUUACACAAUGGACCAAUUGAUUUCAAAUUCCACCUCUGCUCCUAGACAUGUAUUUCUGACUUUGUUUCAUGAGAAAAAAUAUGUAAUUAAAACACUUAGGGUUCUAGAAUCAAAGUGAUAAAAUUAAAUGUUUAGUUAUAAAAAAAAAAUUAGGUGAACACAGACCAAAAGCGACAAUAAAGUAUCAGGUAAUUCUAUACUAAUAUAUUACAUAUCUGUACCUAAUAACACCAAACCCAACUAAAUUUACUUGCUCGAUUUUCGAAGUUAUCUAACCAUUGUGGUAUAAAAAAAGUCAUUCGAAUAAUUGACUACCCAAUUGUCAUCAUAGCCCUCAAAUUCAGGCUCUUCUCUUUUCAGAAUGAAACUACUCACAAACACAUGACAGUAAAUUGAAAAUUGUUAGGAAGUACACAAUAUGUACUCAAACAUAAGUAUAAGUACAUCCCUAAGCUUUAAUCGAGUGAUAAGAAAGCAUGUGAUGUCCAAGUUAUGCACACGAAGAGGUUCAAAAUUUAAAUCUUAGCACAAACAAAAGUCUUCUACUUAAGCUAUGCACAAAACAAGGUUCCACCCCUCUAUUGUUCACUUAAGUAGAAGACUUUUGUUUGUGAUCAGAUUCAAACUUUGAACCUUGUUGUGUGCAUAACUUGCACAUCACAUGCUCUCUUAUCACUCGAUUAAAGCCUAGGGAUAUACUUAUCCUUAUAUUUGAGUGCAUAUUGUAUACUUCCUAACGGUUUCAAUUUACUAUCAGGUGGUUGUGAGUAGCUUCAUUCCGAAAAGGGAAGAGCCUGAAUUUGAGGGCUAUGAUGACAAUUGAAUAGUCAAUUAUUCGAAUGACUUUUGUCAAACCACAAUGGUUAGAUAUUGUUUUAAACUUCGAAAAUCGAGCAACUAAAUUUAGUUGAGUUUGGUGUUAUUUGGUACAAACAUGUAGUAUAUUAGUAUGGAAUUACCUAAUACAUUUUAUAGACGCUUUUGGUCUAUAUUCACUUAAAUGUUUUUUUUAUAACUUAAAUGUUAGUACGUAGUCAAGCGUUCUGUUUUCCUAUUCCAAUGUAUUAGUAUUAGUCUUGUAUUUUCGUAUUCUUAGAUUUCUAAUUCUAUCAGUUUAUUCCUUAGCCUCGAUUACUGUAUUCUUUUGUUUUUGUUCUAACUUGUUGCUAUUGAUGUCUUAUCAUUUGUUUUAGGCUGAGGUUCAAUCGAAAACAUCUUCUCUAUCUUUUCAAGGUAUGGGCAAGAUUUGCGACACACUACCCUUCUCGAACCCCACAUUUGGGAUUAUACAGGGUUUGUUGUUGUUGUUCAAGAGACGAAAAUUACCUCCAACGACCCAGUGGCUAGCUUAAUUAGCAAAGGUUGAUGGACUUGUGUCUUUAGGCCACAAGUUCACAUUUUUCUUAGUUAUUGGCAAGUUUCAAGGUCAUUAAGGUCUGCGUACACUCUACACUCCAUAGAUCGCACUACAACAUGGACCAAUUGAUUUCAAAUUCAAUCUCUGCUCGUUGGCAUCUAUUUCUGACUUUGUUUCAUUAGAAAAAAUAAGUAAUCAAAACGCUUAGGGUUCUAAAAUCAAAGUGACGGAGCACACAAAAGCACAAAUAUUGAUAGGAGGGUGUGGUGGUCGAAAAUAAGGAUCUAAUGUUAGUAGGUAGUUAAGUGUUUAGUUUUACUAUUCCUAGUGUAUUAGUAUUAGUCUUGUAUUUUCGUACUCUUAGAUUAUAAUUCUAUCAGUUGAUUCCUUAUAACUGUAUUCUCUUGUUUUUGAUUUAACUUGUCGCUAUUGAUGUCAUUUGUUUUGAGCUGAGGUUCUACCGAAAACAUCUUCUCUACCUUCUCAAGGUAUGGGUAAGGUGAGCGUACACACUACCCUUCCUGGACCCCACUUGUGGGAUAACACUGAGUAGUAUGUUGUUGUUCAAGAGACAAAAAUCACCUCCAACACCACUAGUGGUUAGCUCAAUUAGCAAAGGUUAAUGGACUUGUGUCUUAAGUCACAAGUUCAAGCCCUCAACCAAGUGAACUAAAUCCACAAUUUAAAUAGAGAAUGCUAAGAGAGGCGAACUUAUCAUCUUCUGAGUUUCGAUGGUUACGAUUAGCUCAAUGUACUGGAAAAUUUCACAGUCAUUUAAGGUAUGCGUACAGUCUAGCCUCCAUAGAUGACACAUCAAGGUUUAUUUUUGUAUUACACAACCGACCAAUUUAUUUCAAAUUCCAUCUCUGCUCCUAGGCAUACUUUGUUUCAUCGGAAAAAAUCAGUAAUCAAAACACUUAGGGUUCUAAAAUCAAAGUGAAGGAGCACACAAAAACACAAAUUCAAGGGUUUAAUUGAGUUAUCGGAGUUAAAAAUCAC